rnacentral:rRNA from 1 species
UACGGAGGAGGCAAGCGUUAAUCGGAAUUACUGGGCGUAAAGGGUGCGCAGGCGGCGUCGCAAGUCAGGCGUGAAAUCCCCGGGCUUAACCUGGGAACUGCACUUGAAACUACGAUGCUGGAGUAUGGCAGAGGGAGGUGGAAUUCCACGUGUAGCGGUGAAAUGCGUAGAGAUGUGGAGGAACACCGAUGGCGAAGGCAGCCUCCUGGGCCAAUACUGACGCUCAUGCACGAAAGCGUGGGGAGCAAACAGG